UGAGUGUCAUAGAGGGUGCCCAGGAGCUCUGCCUUACAGAGCUUCUUCCUGGGGCAGUGGACUCCCAUAGGGGUUGGAGCCCUUCCACCCCAGGGACAGCUCAGACUAACCCCAUAGGAGACCUAAAUUUCCACUCACCUCCCCACUUCCCAGCCCUGUGUUCCUGUGAAUCCGUGUGUAGCUGAUCUUGGGCAGAGAUUCUGGAAAAGGAAGAUAAUGUUGGGCUCUACUCCACCCUUCCCAAGCUGGGCCAGAACUGCUGAGGUGACUGCUUUGAGGAGAGUCAGGAAUUUAGGAGCAACUCUGCUGGACAGAUCUGUCUUGAGAACACCCAUGGGGCCGCAGUCAUCUUCUCUUCCCCACCCUCACCCCCCGACCUGUCCACAGGGCUGCUUGAUGAUCCUCACAGCAGUGUCUCACUUCCCCCAGGGUGAGGGGGUCCAAGAGACCAAGACGGAGGAAGCGGCAGUGCCUCUUCUAACUAGCCUUGGAAGUCACACCCAGUCACUUUGCCACAUUCUAUGGAUCACACAGGCCACUCCUGAUUCAGUGUGGGAGGAUGCUACACAGUGGCGUACAGGCAGGAGGUGAAGAUCCUUGUCUACAUGGCCCAUGGUGGCUCAUCAACCACUUCUGCUUUCCAGUCAGUGGGAAGGAGAGGGUGCCCCUUCCUGGUGAUGGAGUGACCUGGAGGUAGCACUGUGCCCUCUAGGGAUGUGUAUGCUGGCUUUCUGUGGGAUGUUACUUGCCAAAAUGU
rnacentral:lncRNA from 1 species